AUAUUGAAUUAAUCAAAGAAUCAAGUUUCAGGCAAAAACAUAACAAACAAAUAUCUAAUGUGGAAAUAACGGCCACAGUUCACUUAGAAUGACGAGGUCUGACAUGAUUACAGAAUGCCGACAUGAUUGAUUUAACUGACAAAUCUGUGCACCAUUGGUAGCAAUGGAUGCUCAAGUUCCUCAAGGUUCAGCCUAAAGAGAACGAGGGUUAUGAUCCCCAAAUACGUCGGGUCUUAUUCGCAUCACCCCCUGGUUUCAGGGGAGUAAAGAUUAACAGUUUCUAUAACAUAAAACUCUAUAUGCACACUGAAUACAUAGGCCAUACUAUGUAUCAUAAAACAGUCAAGCUCGAACUGGUACCAAUUCAGAACCGGCCACUCAGGGUAGACAUGAGAUGGUCUCAACAGAACUUCCUGCGGUACCGCAGGAAAGUAAAAACCUAAUAUGAUCCGACGUACAAUUACGGGAAACGAUCAUAACCCCUUAAUCUUGCCAGAUCCCGACAUCCUUUUUGACUGUGACGAACGAUUUUAUUACAAAAUAAUGAACAAUUAAAAUCAAGUAAUCAAAAUAAAUGCUGCAUGAUUUUUAUCCAAAUAAAGUCAAAAGUUUAAUGCAUUCCAGGCGAAGAACUAAUAGCACGUAAUGAUAAUUCCGUUUUCGCACUGCUGGUGUCUGAAUAUUUAGAUAAAGGUGGUAGCCAUUCAUGAAAAUUAGCAUUGACAUAUAUAGUUCUCGAAAGUAUGAUUCAGCUAGCAAAUCCAUCGGCUUGUUUGUCUCCUCUUUUUUGUCCAAAAAGUUAUAGAUCCGGCCUGUUCUGGUCAUUCUGAAAAGAUAAAUAAAACAGCAGCAGACACAAGAAUUGUUAUUAGAUGGCAGAUUGCAAGGGGAGGUGGGUGGGUUUUUGAAACUUUUACAUAUCUACAAGAUUGGCAAGUGCAAUGUAAUGCUGACGAGUCAUGUGACGUUGAUGUGCGGGAAACGAGAACCGGAUCCGAAUGAGGCAGUAAUCAUUUCUCUUUAAUUAAAUUGGUUUAUCUUAUAAAUGAGAUAAACCGUAUUAUUGGAAUAGAAAUUU
rnacentral:lncRNA from 1 species